rnacentral:rRNA from 1 species
CGUUGCUCUACAAGUUAGUGGCAGACGGUGAGUAACGCGUGGGAAUGUACCUUUUGGUUUGGAAUAACUUCGGGAAACUGAAGCUAAUACCGGAUAAGCCCGUGAGGGGAAAGAUUUAUCGCCGAAAGAGCAGCCCGCGUUAGAUUAGGUAGUUGGUGGGGUAAAGGCCUACCAAGCCUACGAUCUAUAGCUGGUCUGAGAGGAUGAUCAGCCACACUGGGACUGAGACACGGCCCAG